CAAUCUGCUCGGGUUUCUUUCUGGAUUCUGGAGGGUUUGUUUUUUGGCUUUAGCUGUUUGCAGUGAAUCUGUUGCUGCUUGGUUUUUGGAUCCUUGCUGCGUUUAUGAGCUGUAACACUCCCCUGAAAGGAAACCAAAAUCAUGGUAUUUUGAAGACCAGAGCUACGAGUCUCCGUCGUUUGGCAUCCCGCUGACCCCAGAUCUGUUUCGCUGCUAAUGCUCUGCUGCCAGAACUAGCCAAGCUGCCUCCCUCUGGGCCCAGGGACUAUCGCAAAAGAGGAAACAAGGACCUCUGUAACAAUGGAGCUUUUCCGAAAGCCGCGAUAAGAUCUUCCUUCCGCGUCUGGAACUGCACUCUGAAGCACUGGACUCUUAAUCAGCACAAAGAGGAAACCAAGGCUUCCUUCCCAGGUCGACUGGCUUCCAUGGACUGCAAAGCUGCCUUUUACAAAGCGCUGUGGAUGCUGUUAGCCCAGGAACCAUUUUCUGUUUCAUUCCUCUUGGCAUUAGACUAAACAAAGCACUGUUUCCAUUUUAAUAUGUGGUCCCUUAAAAGACAUUCUUCUCUAUAUCAUAAGGAUAAAGCAGCGUAGGGUAUGCUUAUUCAGCCUGUUCCAUCACUAUCACGAUUAUUUACAUUAAAUUAAAAAUAUAGCUCACAAGGUAACCAGUGUGGGUUGGGUUGAGAGGGGCAGGAGUUGUCUUUGAUGAACGAAAUAUUUUAAUUUUAGGUAAAGUUACCCUGGUAUAUCCCUGCUUAGUGACAAUAAGAACAUUUUAUUUGAUCCAUUCAAUAAACCUCAGGUAGGUUCUGAAGAUGUGAGAAGGGUAUAUAGAUGGAGGCGUGGGGCUGUCUCUGAUUCUGAUGUGCAAACAAGCUGUCUGAAGUCUUUCCAUAUUUUUAAAUCCCCAGUUGUGAAAUGAGAUCCAUUAAUAAAUUUAAGAU